rnacentral:rRNA from 1 species
AGAGAGAGACAUGCGCGCAUAUCAAUAAGCGGAGGAAAAGAAACUAACAAGGAUUCCCCUAGUAACGGCGAGUGAAGCGGGAAGAGCUCAAAUUUGAAAUCUUAAAGGGUUUCCCUUUACGAAUUGUAGUUUAAAGAAGUGUUUUCUGUUGAGGUUUUGGUAAAAGUUCUUUGGAAUAGGACAUCAUAGAGGGUGAGAGUCCCGUAUUUGACCUUUACUUUCAACUUUGUGAUACACUUUCAAAGAGUCGGAUUGUUUGGGAAUGCAGUCCAAAAUGGGUGGUAAAUUUCAUCUAAAGCUAAAUAUUGGCGAGAGACCGAUAGCGAACAAGUACCGUGAGGGAAAGAUGAAAAGAACUUUGAAAAGAGAGUUAAACAGUACGUGAAAUUGUCAAAAGGGAAGCGUUUGACACCAGUGUUGUUUUUCUGAAAAUCAAUUAAAGAACUGUUUAUGCUAAGUUGUUUAGACUUUAUCAGCUAACUGUUUAGUUUUGAGCUUUUCUUUAAUGCACUUUUCAGUUAACAAGUCAACAUCAAUUUCUUUUGCUGUAAAAAAGCUUGAGGAAGGUGGCUUGAGAUUCGUCUUAAGUGUUUAUAGCCUCUUGCCUAUGCAGUCGGAGAGAUUGAGGUCUGCAGCGUAGAUCCUUCGGGGCUAAAUGCAUUUGUGCUAAGUUAUAGCAUUUUAUAGACAACUUGUUGACUAUGAUUUGUCUUGUAGCUUACUCGCUUAUGUUAUUUUACCUACGCUUAGGAUGUUGAGCGCAUGUCUCUCUCU